UUGCGCUUCCAUCUGUCCGUCUGUCUCCCUCUCAAGUCCAUCCGUCUGUCAUGCUGGGUUACAGCUUCCUCCUGGCGGCGCUGUUGCUCUGCCUGGCUGGACAGUCUCUACAAGGAGGAGUCCAGCCACCAGGGGGCCCUCUAGGAAGAGCCGUGCCUAGCAGAGGGCUCGGUAUUGGUGCAGGACCCGGCGUGGGUGGAGCUAAAGCUGGAGGGACCAGACUUCCGUUUCCACAGCAGGGGGGGCUGGGGUUUGGGGGGGGCCCUUUUGGAGGGAGGUCUGUGAAAGCAGGUGGUCCCUACCCUGGAGCUCAACUCGGGAGAGGUGGAGCAGGAGCAGGGCCUUGGCAACCAUUCGGCCCCCAGGGAGGCUUCGGUGCUGGACCCAGCCUGGGGAACGGACUGGGCGUGGGGCCGCAACUGGGAAAGCCACGCAAAGGGUAUGCAGCUAAUGGCUUUGGCUACGGUGGAACUUUGGGAGGUUACGGUCCCGCAGCCGGCAUCUUUCCCAGACCAGGACUGUCUCCGGGCACAGGACGUGCUGGGGUGCAAAACGGACAGGGGGCAAAAGCAGCUAAAGCAGGUUACGGUCCCCAGCCUGGAGGUUAUACAGGAGUAGCACUUGGAAACGGCUUUGGUCCAGGUGUGGGGGCUGCUGGAUACCCUCAGGUUGGAAAAGCUAGACCAGCAGAUUAUGGUGCUGGCCGGGGUGUUUUUCCUGGGGCGGCGCUGGCCAAUGGCUUUGCACCGGGGCUUGCCACCGACCCCUACGGAGGACAGGGCCUGGGACUGGGGGUCCAGCCUGGAAAAUAUGGGGGUGCUGGAGGUGGACCAGGUGUUGGAGUUGGUGGUCCCCAGGCUCACCUGCCUUAUGGGGGCCAGGCAGUGGUCCCUGCUAGGCUGGGAGGCAAUGGCAAGGCGGUCGGUUACAGUCAGGGACUGUCACCAUAUGGGGCUCAUCCCGUCCAACCGGUGGGGCUGGCUGAUGACAGGGACCUAGGUGGACUGGGCGGCGAGCUUGGCGGCGGACUGUUCGAGUCCACGGCAGGGAAACGCGGUGGAAUUGGGCAGCUUUACAAUGGUGCCCCCGUUGUUCCUGUGGCACAGAACGGAAAUGGGGGCUAUCCAUAUGGUCCCCAAGCCUUGGCAGCCAAUGGGAAACCGACAAGCAAACAUGGAGAUGGAGGGUACCAGAAUGGUCCCGUGCAACCAGCAGGAUAUGUUGGACUCGGUGAUGGUGCAGGCCCGUAUGGUGGCAAGGAGAGCAAGUAUGGACUGAAUGGAUUCUUUGGAAAUGGAUAUCGAGUUCAGGCACCAACCGCAUCCAGUAUCUGACUCCUGUUGUUUGUCCUUCGCGUGUGGCAUCUGGAAUUAAUACAAAGCUGGUUAGUCCACACACUCACAGACACACGAACACAGUGCACUCCCCUGCCUAACGUCCCCAGCAUGCUUGACAAGGAUUUAACAAGGACGACACAACCGGGGACAACCUGGUCUUAUACAAUGAUAAGAAGAUGAGUGGAAAGGAAGAGAGAAGACAAGAGAGGACUGAUGGAAACGUUCUCGGUGUGACGGGCGGCCUGGACUACAUGUUAGCACAUGAAGAAAAGAGUUAGAUACCUGAGUUAGUGUCUGAGCUCGCAGCGAGUGAGUGAAACUGAAACUCUACUCUGAGCUUCGUAAUGCUAGAGUCCUUGUCAUACCAUAAGCUUUUUAUUGUCAUCUGUGAUUAUCUUACUAUGACUAAUGGAUCUUUUAAUUUGAUCUCUGUUUUAAAGCUGCAUCUCAAGAUAAACACAUUACCAACCUUCGCACAUUUUUUUAAAAAUCUUGAUCAACAGACAGGAAACCGCAUUAUUUCCUUUUGCUCUGGAGGACUCUUUCUUUCUUUCUUGUCGUUUUUCUGACAUGUUAAAACUAUCCAGCUCAUCAGGUGUCUGUUGUUUGCGAAUGCCUUUUGGGAUGUGCCCAGUCUCCAGAUGCCUAAUCCUGUC